GGAGAGAUGUCCGAGUGGUUUAAGGUGUAGCUCUCGAAAAGCUAUGAACCGAAAGGUUCCGAGGGUUCGAAUCCCUCUCUCUCCG
rnacentral:tRNA from 1 species